rnacentral:rRNA from 1 species
GCAGUAGCCGCGGGAAUACAGAGGGUGCAAGCGUUAAUCGGAUUUACUGGGCGUAAAGGGCGCGUAGGUGGUUAUUUAAGUGAGAUGUGAAAGCCCCGGGCUUAACCUGGGAGCUGCAUCUUAUACUGGGUAACUGGAGUGCAGUAGAGGGUAGUUGAAUUUCCGGUGUAGCGGUGAAAUGCGUAGAUAUCGGAAGGAACACCAGUGGCGAAGGCGGCUACCUGGACUGAGACUGACACUGAGGCGCGAGAGCGUGGGGAGCAAACAGGAUUAGAUACCCCAGUAGUCCCUGUCUCUUAUAC